UACGGGGGGAGCAAGCGUUGUUCGGAUUUACUGGGCGUAAAGGGCGCGUAGGCGGCCACCGCAAGUCAGUUGUGAAAGCUCUGGGCUUAACCCAGAAAGGUCAGCUGAUACUGCGGGGCUAGAGUGCAGAAGGGGCAACUGGAAUUCUCGGUGUAGCGGUGAAAUGCGUAGAUAUCGAGAGGAACACCUGCGGCGAAGGCGGGUUGCUGGGCUGACACUGACGCUGACAGCGCGAAAGCUAGGGUAGCGAACGGG
rnacentral:rRNA from 1 species